rnacentral:rRNA from 1 species
GACAGAGGGGGCAAGCGUUGCUCGGAAUUACUGGGCGUAAAGGGCGCGUAGGCGGGAUGGCAAGUCGGUCGUGAAAUCCCUCGGCUCAACCGAGGAACGUCGAUCGAUACUGCUGUUCUUGAGGAUUGCAGAGGAGACUGGAAUUCCCGGUAUAGCGGUGAAAUGUGUAGAGAUCGGGAGGAACACCGGUGGCGAAGGCGGGGUCUCUGGGCAAUUCCUGACGCUGAGGCGCGAAAAGCGUGGGGAGCAAACGGGG